UUCUUUUUCCCAAGCAUUAAAAGAUAAAAAAAUAUCCCGGCCUGCUCAUUUUUGGUUUUCCCUCUAUUUCAAAAUUUCUAGGUCUUUGAAAACCCUAAACCAAACGAUAACCCAAGUCCCAAAGGAAGAAAGCACUAUUGCGUCCAUGCCAACGCACCGAUGCAGAUCUACAACCACAGUCAUAGUCACCGAUGCAUCUUAUUUAUACUAUUACAGAAUGCGGUUAUAACUUAAUUCUAAUUGAUGAAGUUUGUGAUACCCUUAUCUAGCUGGGUUCUUGUUCAUAUCAAGAUAUAUCUAUUUAACUCAAACCAAUCAUUUACCUUUGUUUUGACUGCCAGCUUGGACAAGCUCUUAGCAUAAACCAGUGAGGAUUGCUUAGGUUUCAGAUUUAGUGUGAUAGCGUGGCUUCUAUUCAGCCUCCUUUUGCUCGACUCGUGACACCUGGGUUUCGGAUUUAUUCCUUGAAGCUGGACACUAACGAUUGUCAAAAAUCCAUGUGGAGCUAAGGCAAUUGAUGAGAAGAUUCAGUCCUUUAAUUUAUAAAAAUUUUAAGGCAUAGAUUAAAAGCCACAGAUUCACAACUGGAAGGGGUUAAUGUUCUAGUAGCUGGAUGCUUAACUGGGAAAUAUAAGGAGGUCAGAUGCUUAUUUGGGAAAGAUAAUGUGAACGGUCACGCCUCGAGGAAGAAGUUGUGGAUGAACAUGUUCCUGUUCAGCCAAGUCCAAAUGAAACAUAAUGUGAAAUAUAAGAAGGUCAGAUGCUUAUUUGGGAAAGAUAAUGUGAACGGUCACGCCUCGAGGAAGAAGUUGUGAAAUAUAAGAACGUGUUCCUGUUCAGCCAAGUCCAAAUGAAACAUGCCUCUAUCCAAAACUAGAUCAUUCUGCAACCCAAGAGGAAAAGAAAUCAUAUGCUUUAACUGUGUGAUUAUGUUAACUGAAAGUUCUACAUACACUUUCUUUUAUGUAUAUGAUAAAGCAUUUGGUAAAAUUGACUCGUUUUAUGUAUUUAUGUGAUGUGAUUUUAUAUAUAAUUAGUGAGUUUUUAU
rnacentral:lncRNA from 1 species